rnacentral:lncRNA from 1 species
UAUAUGUAUACUCUGAAUGGUAAUGCCAUUAUGAGUUGGCAAUGGUUAGCACCAUUUUGGGGUGAUAUAUAUAUGUGAGUAUUUGAUCAUUGUAGCAUAUCAUUCAAGUACUUGCAGUUGAGAUCAUGAAAUGUGACUUUAGGAAUAUUUGAUAGAAUGAUGAACAAGUUACCUAAAUAGGCUUGCUUGGACUUAGUGAGCUAUGCUCAUUGGGUCCAUGUGCCGAUCAUGGCUCGAAAAUUUGGGUCGUGACAUGUUUGAUACUUUAUAAUACAAUAUGGUUGCAAGUAAUGGGAUUGCAAGCAAUGUGAUUGCAAAGAAAAUAACAUUAUAGUGUUUGGUAUACAAGUAAAAUAAUGAUUAAAAUGCAUGAAAGAUAACAUUGUAGUGUUUGGUUUACAAGUACUUUGUCACGACCCAAAUUCCGGGCCAUGAUCGGCGCAUGGACCCAAUGGACGUAGUUCACUAAGCCCAAGCAAGCCUAUUAAUCUGACAUAUUCAUCAUUCCAUCAUAAACUGCUAAGUCAUAUAUCAUAACUUAGAAUCAAAAUAAUAUUGAACAUUGCCCCUCAUACUAGCAUACCAAUCAAGUGUAUAUACACUGUCUACAACAUGUAUCUUAAUAAUUCACAUUAGGUUCGUCUAUUCAUAACAAAAGAAGACUCGAUGUCCAGCAGAGAAACUUGACGAAUGUACAGCUACUAAAUGCCGAGACACCUACCAAUAGUCGAGUCUACAAAGGUACCUCGACCUAAUUACCAGCUGCUCGUAAUCUGAAAACAUGAAGUUGAAAGCGGUGAACAUAAACUCAGUGAGUGAACAAGAAAAGGAACAAGCAUACCAUAAGGAAUGUUUAACAAAAUCAUGAUGCAUUCAUUUUCUCAAAACAAUGCAAUUGUUUUGGCUCUUUUAAACCCCUCAUGUAAACCCCACAUGAGUAAAUCACUUGACAAAGAUCCAUGCUCAACUAUGGUACCAAAGAAAUGGGAAAUAUGGUAAAAACCCACAAGUUAGCAAAAUGGACAGAAAGUUUCUCGUUGUAGCGAGUUUCAAAACAUCAAGGAAAAAGUCUCAUUUUCCCUUAAAACAAGCCAUCCUACUAAAAUAACAAUAGCAACAUGUAACACAUGUAAACUCCCAAAUUUCAACAAAUCAAAUGCUCACAUAUUUGCAUUUACAACCAUAUACCCAUCAUCAUCAUGCACACCAUCCCAUCAUCAUCAUCAUACACACCAUCCCAUCAUCAUCAUUCCUAGCUCAUGCACACUGCACUCCCUACUCGCACAUGGCUAGGUCAUCAUCGAGUUAUACGCACUCCCUACUCGCACAUAAUCGGGUCAUCAUCGGCUUAUGCGCACUCCCUACUCGCACAUAGCCAAGUCAAUAUCAUUACACAACAAUGUAUUCAUACAUAUAUAUCAACACAAUGUGGUAGUGCAUGAAUCAAUAAUAGUCACAUGUCACAACAUAAACCAUUUCUCAACAUAAAUCAUUCAAACACUUUGUACAAAACAGUCACAUUCCCAAAAUAGUUUUGAUAGGCAGUCCAUUCAUCGGUAUGAGGAGUAGAAAUACUCAUAUUUUUAGUCCACGGGUACAGUCCUUUACUCAUAUCCAAUGGCUCACCACCUAGCCAUAAUCCAUGACACAUAUUCCAAUUAAAUUAUAUCUAACAGUCAUAAGCUAUUUCAGGCUCGAUAUAUAUAUGAUAUGAAAUUAAAAAUGCACAGGUAGUCAUCUAGACCCGGUAUUGGCCUAAGUCGAUUUUUUUAACCGAUUAAUUGGCCAAUGUGUCCAAUUUCACUCCAACUUGCUCCAUUUCUUUUCCAAUCCCUCAAUUCACCAAGCACAAACUAAUUAACACACAAUUAGGCAAAAUUUAUCUUCAUUUUUCUUCUUAGAACUUUCGGCCAACAAGGGUACACUAACUUCGUGAUUUUUUUCUACUUAAUUUUCUCACCAUUAUUCAUUAAUUCCUACACCAAAAACUAUUAUUUCUUAAUCAAAUCACCUAGAAUAACAUCCCAUUCUUCCUCAUUAUUCACUUAGAGAAUUCGGCUAUUGAUGGGCACCUAACCUUUGGUGGUUUUCUUCACUUGUUUUCAUGCUACACAUCAUUAAUCACCUAAAAACACUAACAUACCUAAAAAUCAAACCAAUCCAAGAUCAUUCUCUCUCCAUACCCAUUUUGCCUACCACUUAUUCACUAUGAAAUCAUGUUUCUCCACCAUAGAAAUAAGAAAAUAAAGCAUGGGUAUUGUAAAUCUCAAGUAAAACUAAAGAAUUUUCACUUUACCUUGCUUAAUUCCUUGGAAUCCCACACUUUUUCUUCAAUUUUCCCACCUAGGGUUUGCGUUCUUUUCUUUCCUUUUCACUUCAUGCU